rnacentral:ncRNA from 1 species
AUGUGAGGACGACCUCACCGCUCUUUAUUUACUAGGGACGACCCU